rnacentral:rRNA from 1 species
UACUCCUGACUGACCGAUAGUGAACCAGUACCGUGAGGGAAAGGCGAAAAGAACCCCGGAGAGGGGAGUGAAAUAGAACCUGAAACCGUAUGCGUACAAGCAGUGGGAGCCUACUUUGUUAGGUGACUGCGUACCUUUUGUAUAAUGGGUCAGCGACUUAUUUUCAGUGGCGAGCUUAACCGAAUAGGGGAGGCGUAGCGAAAGCGAGUCUUAAUAGGGCGUUUAGUCGCUG